rnacentral:rRNA from 1 species
UACGUAGGGUGCGAGCGUUAAUCGGAAUUACUGGGCGUAAAGCGUGCGCAGGCGGUUCGUUGUGUCGGCGGUGAAAGCCCCGGGCUCAACCUGGGAAUGGCCGUUGAAACUGGCGAACUGGAGUGUGGCAGAGGGGGGUGGAAUUCCGCGUGUAGCAGUGAAAUGCGUAGAUAUGCGGAGGAACACCGAUGGCGAAGGCAGCCUCCUGGGAUAACACUGACGCUCAUGCACGAAAGCGUGGGGAGCAAACAGG